UUUAAUAGAUUGAAGAACUUGCAUAAAAGUGAGGCAAAGGUAAUAAAGGCGGCAAACCGGCGAGGGGCAGGAAGGAAGUGUGAUUGCCAUAGGAAAUGUGUUAUUUUGCUUCCGCUUAUUGUUUUUUUUAGGUUUAAGACGUUGUAUUGAAACUUAGCUUACAAACUUUUAUUUGUAAAUAGUACUUUUUUUAAGUUUUUGGAAUAUUUGAAAAUCAGGCCUGACUUAAA